UGCAAAUUGUAAGCGAGAUGAAUUUAUACAAAAACAGGCAUAUUUGCAUAACCGAAAAAAGUGUACUUGCAGACUAAAAUUUCAAUUUCAUAGAAGAAAAAGAGAGAAAGAAUGGGAAAAUUAACGAAGAAAGACCCCAAUUAUAGAUUUUGACUUGCAUGGAACAAAUAAAAGCAAUAAAAAAAGAGUUGACAGAGCAUAACAACCAAAACAAAAAAUUAAAAAUAAAAGCAAUUACUUUAAGUUCUGGAGAAACUGAAAGAAGCAAGAAAUUAAGAAUAAACUGAACCGAGUUGAGCAAUACUUUCUCGGCAGCCAAGCAGGCACAAAGUGAUCAUACACAAUACGACAAUACUAAUUUUAAGUAAUAUAAGCUGAGAAGAGAGAAAUAUGAGAGAUACCCGAACCUCAGUAAUUUGUCGUA
rnacentral:misc_RNA from 1 species